CACCUAAGUAGAUCUCUAUAAAUGCUGUCAUGCUAUCUUUGUCUAUUCAUAAGCAAGUGUUGGUUUGGAAGUACUGAACAUACUUCCAUUGACAUUUAAAUUAAGCGUGGUGCUUAGGUUAAAUAGCCUUCCUUAAUCUGAUUAGACAUGGAGUCUAGUUUGGUUACUGAACUAAAAACUGCUUGAGUAGGCAUUGGUAUAUUUUGUCGGACUAACCCCUGCAGGAAAACUUUCAAUAUCAACCUGGGAAGUCCUGAGAUACAAACUCACAUUGGAGAUAAAGGAGACACAUGAAGUUUAACGAUUUGCACAAGGAAGGACAUAGCGCAUUCAUCAUAGAGAGAUGAUCCAUGGAACGAGACAAAGAGUGCCACAAACACGAUGCACAACCGCUAAGAAAGGAAAGCUUCCACAAGGUGAGAUGGUACCAUCACUCUUCAAUUAAGGUAACAUCUUAAGGUAUGUGAAUAUCACUUUUCUAAGCUUCUCCUUGGUUCUGGCGUUCACAUAAAAUAAAGAGACAAACAUGUAUGAUUUAUAACUCCAAAUUAACCAACCCAACUGAUUCAGCAUGUUUAGUCCUUUAAUCUUUGUUCCGAGUACUACCUCCAUGAUCCUACACUCCUAAUCAUAUGAGCUAAAAUGUUGCACAUUCAAUCUUUGAGAAGAUAUAAAGAAAAAGACUUAUACAUAGAUAGAUUAUCUUUCCACAAGGUUGCCGGUUAAAAUGCUACAUCGGUAUUAAUCUGUGCGCUUGCAGAUCCCAUUCAUUGCAUAUUUCAAUACCGCGUCUCUCAUGUCAUGCUGGGGAUGACAACUUGGCUUAAGUGGUAUGAGGGAUAGGUUUGGCAUUUUUCGCACCGUUACUAGAAUUAGAAAACUGUCUACUUUUGGUAAUGAUGUUAAGAAUACCCAACACAUGUGUGGUGAAUGAAUGGUGUAUGGUGAUAAUGGUGAUAAUGAUGAAAACAAUGGUGAAAGUCUAAUUCUACGUUUGCUCUUUUGAGGGGAUACAUACCUUUCUUGCACUUUGAAGUUUGAGGGGAAUGAGAUGCUCUAUAUUUUCUUUUUCUUUUUUUUUCUUUUCUCUUAGGUGGGUAUCUUGUACCCCUAAUUGUACUGUCGGACACUUGUCCAUUUUUACCUCUCGUCUUACUCUUUUUUUUCCUUCGAGGUUCCGGGCACUUGCCCCUUUUUAUUUCCUCGUAUAUUUUUUCUUUUCUCUUUUUUUUUCCAGAGCACUCACCCUCCUAGAAUAAUGUAGCAAGUGGUAGUAACCAAAAUAUCCAGAGCAUUUAUUUCACGGGGAAUAACAGGGAUAGGAUAAUAUUUUUGGCUAUUCUCUCUUGGAUAGGAGUAGAAUAAUUUUAUGUGAAUCUGGAGAUGGAAAUGAAUGGAUGUAUGUAGAUGCGUACUUUCGGAGUAGAAGCAGCAUUUAUGAGUGAACGUGCAAGUGAAUCUUGAUUUUAACCACAUGACAAGCUCCCAAGGGUCUACACAGCUUGACCACACUCAAUGCUCAUAAGCAGUAAAAAGUAAAUGUAUGGUUCAUAGUCUAAUAAGCAUGUAUAUAUGGCUGUGGUAGGAUUUUAAACUCUCAUCAUACAAGAACUCAUCAUGCAACAUUUUAAAGAUUUUGAAAGAUAAAAUUCUCUAGAAUUCUAGCAUCUCUAGGAACAAAUAAACAACAGCUCAACCUUCCCAUAUCAUAUCCGUUAACGACUUAGACUUUAGAUCAAGCACUCUUCCCACAAG
rnacentral:lncRNA from 1 species